UUCCGGUUGAUCCUGCCGGACCCCACUGCUAUCGGGGUGGGACUAAGCCAUGCUAGUUGAGCGUUUCGAGCUAUGACGAGACGCGGCGUACGGCUCAGUAACACGUAGUUAACCUACCCUUAGGACGGGGACAACCCUGGGAAACUGGGGCUAAUACCCGAUAGGCGAGGAGACUUGGAAUGGUUCCUCGCCGAAAAGGCGUUGAAACCACGCUUUUCAACGUUGCCUAAGGAUGGGACUGCGUCCGAUCAGGUUGUUGGUGAGGUAACGGCUCACCAAGCCUAUAACCGGUACGGGCUGUGAGAGCAGGAGCCCGGAGAUGGGCACUGAGACAAGGGCCUAGGUCCUACGGGGCGCAGCAGGCGCGAAAACUCCACAAUGUACGAAAGUGUGAUGGGGCUACCCCGAGUGCCGUCCGCUGAGGAUGGCUUUUCUCCAGUGUAACAAGCUGGAGGCAAUAAAGGGAGGGCAAGAAUGGUGUCAGCCGCCGCGGUAAUACCAACUCCCUGAGUGGUGGGGACGAUUAUUGGGCUUAAAGCGUUCGUAGCCGGCCUGAUUAGUCCCGCGUCAAAUCCAGCGACCUAAUCGUUGGGUUGCGAGGGAUACGGUCAGGCUUGGGAGCGGAAGAGGUUAGCGGUAUUCCCGGGGUAGGGGCGAAAUCCUGUAAUCCCGGGAGGACCACCGGUGGCGAAGGCGGCUAACCAGAACGCGUCUGACGGUGAGGGACGAAAGCUGGGGGAGCGAACCGGAUUAGAUACCCGGGUAGUCCCAGCCGUAAACGAUGCGGGCUAGCUGUUGGGAUGGCUACGAGCCAUCCCGGUGGCGCAGGGAAACUGUUAAGCCCGCCGCCUGGGGAGUACGAUCGCAAGAUUGAAACUUAAAGGAAUUGGCGGGGGAGCACCACAAGGGGUGAAGCUUGCGGUUUAAUUGGAUUCAACGCCGG
rnacentral:rRNA from 1 species